GGAGAAUACGCUGCUGGCGCAUUAAGUGACGAGAGAGAGUCCAAGGGAAUUCUAAACUCAUUUUAUCAGAAAACCAUGUCAUCUGAAACACAAACGAGUGCAGCUACAGUAUCAGAGGGGAUCCAUCGCAAUUGGGAACUGUCACAAGGCACUCGAAGAAGCCGGAACUCGCUGACAUCUUUACCUGUGGGGCACGAGGACCUGGUGGGCAGUAAUUCGAGGGCUCGUCCCCCGGCCUGCGGGGAGCCACGGACGAGGUGUUCCAACACAUCCCGGUCAGUCAAAUGCUCCUGGAUAAUGGAGGAAGAGGAUCAGCACCUCCACACUUGAGUUCAUUGUCGGUGAUAUGCCAUACGCCCCCCCAAGACGCCCUUUUGGCCAAGCAGCAGAAACUCAUCACUGUGUGAAUGAUGGGAUUCUGUCCCCAAUACAUGGUGGCCAGGUGUGUGUGUGUGUGUGUGUGUGUGUGUGUGUGUGUGUGUGUGUGUGUGUGUGUGUGUGUGUGUGUGCGUGCCGUUGUGGGGGGAACUGCGGUGGGGUGUA
rnacentral:lncRNA from 1 species